rnacentral:rRNA from 1 species
AUUUUGGACAAUGGGGGAAACCCUGAUCCAGCCAUCCCGCGUGUAUGAUGAAGGCCUUCGGGUUGUAAAGUACUUUGGCAGAGAAGAAAAGGUAUCUCCUAAUACGAGAUACUGCCGCCGGUAUCUGCAGAAUAAGCACCGGCUAACUACGUUCCAGCCGCCGCGGUAAUACGGAGGGUUCAACCCUUAAUCGGAAUUACUGGGCGUAAAGCAUGGAUAGGCGGUUCGGAAAGAAAGAUGUGAAAUCCCAGGGCUCAACCUUGGAACUGCAUUUUUAACUGCCGAGCUAGAGUAUGUCAGGGGGGGGUAGAAUUCCACGUGUAGCAGUGAAAGGCGUAGAUAUGUGGAGGAAUACCGAUGGCGAAGGCAGCCCCCUGGGAUAAUACUGACGCUCAGACACGAAAGCGUGGGGAGCAAACAG